ACGACUACAUAUCAGGCAUAUCAAUAAGCGGAGGAAAAGAAACUAACAAGGAUUCCCUUAGUAACGGCGAGUGAAGCGGGAAGAGCUCAAAUCUGAAAUCUUCAAGGUUCUACCUUGACGAAUUGUAGUUUAAAGAAGUGUUUUCUGUUAGAGGAGUAGCAAAAGUUCCUUGGAAUGGGACAUCAUAGAGGGUGAGAAUCCCGUAUUUGGUUAUUCUUUCUAGCUUUGUGAUACACUUUCAAAGAGUCGGAUUGUUUGGGAAUGCAGUCCAAAAUGGGUGGUAAAUUUCAUCUAAAGCUAAAUAUUGGCGAGAGACCGAUAGCGAACAAGUACCGUGAGGGAAAGAUGAAAAGAACUUUGAAAAGAGAGUUAAACAGUACGUGAAAUUGUCAAAAGGGAAGCGUUUGACACCAGUGUUGUUUAGUUGAAAAUCAAUUCAAUAGUUUUUGAUUCUAAGUAGUAUUGACUUCAUCAGCUUGCUGCUUUCUUCUCAGAAAUUAUUGAAUGCACUUUUCAGUUAACAAGUCAACAUCAAUUUCUUUUGUUGUAAAAGGGUAAGAGGAAGGUGGCUUGCGCUUCGGCUCAAGUGUUUAUAGCCUUUUAUCUCUGCAAUCGGAGAGAUUGAGGUCUGCAGCGUAGAUCCUUCGGGGUUAGAUACAUUGGUGCUAAGCUAUAGCCUUGUAUAGACAACUUGUUGACUAUGCUCAGUCAUGUAGCUUACUCGCUGAUGCUAUUUUACCUACGCUUAGGAUGUUGAUCUACAGAGCGAGAGU
rnacentral:rRNA from 1 species